CAAGCUGGCCGGGCGGUCGCGGCUUCGCGUAGCGGGGCUGAGGAAAGUCCGCACUCCCCAGAGCACGGUGCCGGCUAACGGCCGGGCAGGGCGACCUGAUGGCAAGUGCAACAGAGAGGAGAUUGCCCCGAACCCGUACGGGUGAAGGGUGAGGGUGAAACGGUGGAGUAAGAGUCCACCGGCGGCGGCAGCAAUGUCGCCGGCCAGGCAAACCCCACCGGGAGCAAGGUCAAGCAGGGUGGAAGCCUUCGGGCUGCGGGGCUGCUCGUUCCGCCAAUACAUCCGGGUAGACUGCAUGAGGUGUCUGGUAACAGGCAUCCCAGAUAGAUGAUCGCCGGUCACCGGCUCCGGCCGGUGACAACAGAAUGCGGCUUACAGGCUGGCUUGGUUU
rnacentral:RNase_P_RNA from 1 species